UACGUAGGGGGCGAGCGUUGUCCGGAGUUACUGGGCGUAAAGCGCUUGUAGGCGGUCCACCAAGUUUGGGGUGACAGUUGCCGACUUAAUCGGCAAAGUGCCUCAAAGACUGGCGGACUUGAGGGCCACAGAGGGACAUGGAACUCCAGGUGUAGUGGUGAAAUGCGUAGAUAUCUGGAAGAACACCAAAGGCGAAGGCAGUGUCCUGGGUGGUCGCUGACGCUGAGAGGCGAAAGUCAGGGGAGCGAACGGG
rnacentral:rRNA from 1 species